CCUACGGGGGACAGCAGUGGGGAAUAUUGCACAAUGGGGGAAACCCUGAUGCAGCGACGCCGCGUGAGUGAAGAAGUAAUUCGUUACGUAAAGCUCUAUCAGCAGGGAAGAAACACUGACCUUACGGUCAGCAGACGGUACCUGAGUAAGAAGCCCCGGCUAACUAAGUGCCAGCAGCCGCGGUAAUACGUAGGGGGCAAGCGGUAUCCGGAUUUACUGGGGGGAAAGGGGGCGGAGACGGUGCGCCAAGGCGGGAGGGAAAUGCCGCAGCUUAAGUGCGGGACUGCUUUGGAAACUGGCGAACUGGAGUGCGGGAGGGGUAAGCGGAAUUCCUAGUGUAGCGGUGAAAUGCGUAGAUAUUAGGAGGAACACCGGUGGCGAAGGCGGCUUACUGGACCGUAACUGACGUUGAGGCUCGAAAGCGUGGGGAGCAAACAGGAUUAGAUACCCGGGUAGUC
rnacentral:rRNA from 1 species